UUCUGACAAGCUGGGUUGUCGGAGGAGAGGAGAGAGAGGACUUAAGGGAGAUGGUGGGAGGUAGAGAGGGUGCGCCAGUCUUCCUCUCCUCAGGUUACCCAGAUCUCUACCACAUCAGUGACUAGACAUGGUGGCCAGACGCAGUCACGCCAGGGCAAGGCAUCUUAGUCUUAGGUGUGUCUUAAGAUGGACAGAAGAACUUGGUGGUGAUGUGCCAGGACUCCAGACUUUGAAGACAGCUGUUUGAAUCCUGGCUCAGACAUGUACACUGGUCAAGUCAUUAAGGAAGGCAAAUGAGCUGGAAGCACUAUAAAACUGUAACAGCAAAAGGGAGACCGAGGUGAAGAGUUGACUGAGGUGACCUGAACAUUCUUACUUCAGAAGCUUUCCUGAAGCCCAUUCAAUGUGAAGACAACGAGGAUGAAGACCUUUAUGAUGAUCCACUUUCACUUAAAAAGGAGUAAAGAAUCAUCAUGCUGUACAGUUAAUAAACUUAUCUGUUG